GGACCCGGAGUCGUCCGGGCCCGCCAAACGGGGCGGCGGCGGGGGCGGGCAGUGUUUCCUAUUCCUUUUUAUUUAAAGCCUCAAUUAAAAUUAACCUGGGAAGGCAAUAACAACAAAGGAAAUUAAUAAAUAUAUAUAUGUACCGCGGUAUCAUUACUUCUCAGUGGCGAUUAGCGCUCACCACCGGGAAGUCCUGCUGUCUGGAAAUUGGCUUUGCCUCCUAGCAAACCUGAGGAAAAUGCUGCCCCAGUUGAUGCCACUGUAGGUCUUAGUAAAAGCUUGAAAUUAGAUAGAUACAGAGUUUUCUUUCAAAAUAUGCUCUUGAAUAAAUUAGUUUGCAUCCAGAAAUGGCAUCUGUUUUCCUUGGCUCAGAUAUUUUUCUAAAAGCAUUUAGAAAUGCUGCAGGGUCAGUAACCUCGGAAGAGGGGAAGGACGGGCACUUAGACAUCAGAUUUUACGAGGAAGAAGCUGAAAACACUGGACACAUCUCUGUUUCUGUUGGAGGUCACUUGCUGAUUUAUCUCCAAUUCACAGCUCAUUAGAAGCAUUGGAUUUCUCUUUCGGGAGGUGUGACUUAAUGCCAUCUCCCUGCACAGUCAGAGGAUCGCCCUGAUGACCGAAGCGGCGCGCUGAAACCUCGGAGGGCCUUUGCCUGCCCCUCAGCACCCACGGCAGCGUGGAGGAGCGGGUUCUGAGCGCCGGCGCAGGGCGAAGCCUCCUCGCACCGCGGUCCUCGUCUGCAGUCACCACGGAGAAAACCAUCUGUUCCACUUGGAAAGGGGUUUGGUUCCACACGCCCUCCCCCUGCAUCCCGGCUCUGUCCCCAGCUGCCGCGUUUCGACGAGCAGCGAGGGAAUGAAUCUCCUGCGUUAAAAAUACUCUGGUUCUAUUUAGAUAAAAAGAAGAAUCUUGCUUGCCUACACUGACGUACAAAAAUAGUCUCAGUGUGAGUAAAUCUUCAAAGUUUCUCUUGGUGAAAAUAUCUAGCCUCAAUUUAUAAAUAAAUUGAUAUGAUAAGUUAAAAAAAGAGCGUCCUUUCCUCCUACUCUACCAAGACAUUUGCAGAAGGUUGACGCUCGUCUUGUUCGUGAGUCCUGAAAUAAUUUGCAGGGCCUUUGAAACAUCAUCAUGUUGCAUAGUUGCGAUGCAGUGUGCUGCUGUUGCAUGGACGUAUCGUAUUUUAAUGUGAAUGUCGUGUUAGCGGAGACAGUCGAGGCUUUCUUUUACUUUAGGCACUUUAUACCUGUUUGUCUUUUUACUUUAACUUUGCAGUCAAAAAGCUCUCUAUGUAGUAAGUUAAAAUUUUAAAUUCUAUGUACAAACCAUUGCAUAGAAAAUUAAUAUGCAAUAUGAGAGGAUUAAUAAAUUGCAUAUACUUUCUGAAUGUCUUAAAAAUAGCUUUCGCUGUCACUGUAGCAUCUUAAUUCUGAAUAAUCUCCAAGUCUUUCUGCAAAUCUGUGUAUGUAGUAACAGAGGAACCACCUACUUCAUCCUCACAAACUGCACGAUAUGUAUGCAUGAAAGAAAUUGAAUUUUGGGGUGCGGCUCUGCUCCAGCAGAUACGAUGGCUGUGGGGCUAGUGGAGGCAUUAAU